GUCCCUACGGGGCGCAGCAGUGAGGAAUAUUGGUCAAUGGGCGGGAGCCUGAACCAGCCAAGCCGCGUGAGGGAAGAAGGUACAGCGUAUCGUAAACCUCUUUUGUCAAGGGACAAAAUCAGGCUCGAGAGCCUGACCGAGGGUACUUGAAGAAAAAGCAUCGGCUAACUCCGUGCCAGCAGCCGCGGUAAUACGGAGGAUGCGAGCGUUAUCCGGAUUUAUUGGGUUUAAAGGGUGCGUAGGCGGGCUGUUAAGUCAGCGGUAAAAGCCCGGGGCUCAACCCCGGCGAGCCGUUGAACCUGGCG
rnacentral:rRNA from 1 species